rnacentral:lncRNA from 1 species
GAAAGUCCUUUCGUACACGAGCCGAUGCAGCAGGAAAAACUGCGUUGUUGAUGAAUUAAUCUCCCAUGUACAGAAUGCCUUUAUUAAAACGGAAACGUUUAAAGAACAGGUCUAGGAGUCAAAAGCCAUAUAGGGAGAGCAAGACCAGAUGCAGUUUUACAUGGAUAAGAAAAAGAGACACUUGUGUGGUGUUAAGUACAUCAGAUUGAAGAACCAAUUCAAGAAGGCCAAGAUGAGACGUAAAUGAUGAAGAGGAUAGCUUUCUUGUAACCUUUACAGAGCUAGCUAUUCCCACCAUCUCUACCAUGCCUGGAGAGAUAUGAAAGAUUUGCCCAAAAUCAGAACUGGGACAAAGGUGAUGGGCAGUCUGUCUCAGCCCAGUUUUCACAAGAAAAAUACCUCUAAGUGUAUGCAGGCAUGACAUCAGAAGGUGCUAUGGACCAGCGUUUCCCAAAUUGUGAUCUGGGACCUGGUACUGGUCCAUGAAAAAAAAAAUUCCGGUCUGCAGAGAACUAAAAAAAUUAAAUUAAAUUACUUU